GAUGAAGAACGUAGCGAAUUGCGAUAAGUAAUGUGAAUUGCAGAUUUUCAGUGAAUCAUCGAAUCUUUGAACGCACAUUGCGCCCCUUGGUAUUCCGGGGGGCAUGCCUGUUCGAGCGUCAUUUCAACCCUCAAGCUCUGCUUGGUCUUGGGCCGCGUCGGUAACGACGGGCCUCAAAAUUAGUGGCGGCGCCGUUCGCGUCCUCAGCGUAGUAAUUCUUCUCGCUGUUGGGCCCGGACGGCCGCUGGCCAGCAACCCCAAAUUUUUCUAUGGUUGACCUCGGAUCAGGUAGGGAUACCCGCUGAACUUAAGCAUAUCAAUAAGCGGAGGA
rnacentral:misc_RNA from 1 species